rnacentral:rRNA from 1 species
UUCGUAGGCGGUGCGGCAAGUCGGGAGUGAAAUCUCUGGGCUUAACCCAGAGGCUGCUUCCGAAACUGCUGUGCUUGAGUGUGGGAGAGGCGCGUGGAAUUGCAGGUGUAGCGGUGAAAUGCGUAGAUAUCUGCAGGAACACCCGUGGCGAAAGCGGCGCGCUGGACCACAACUGACGCUGAGGAACGAAAGCUAGGGGAGCAAACAGGAUUAGAUACCCUGGUAGUCCUAGCCCUAAACGAUCAGGACUUGGGGUGGCGCCCGUUCGGGCGUCGUCCCGGAGCUAACGCGUUAAGUCCUGCACCUGGGGAGUACGGUCGCAAGACUGAA